UCUCGUUUGGUCGGGGUCCGUGCUUCUA
rnacentral:sRNA from 1 species